rnacentral:rRNA from 1 species
GCUUGUCUCAAAGAUUAAGCCAUGCAUGUCUCAGUAUAAGCUUUCACACGGCGAAACUGCGAAUGGCUCAUUAAAACAGUUAUCGUUUCUUUGGUGGUUAUUGAUUCCAUGGAUAGCCGUGGUAAUUCUAGAGCUAAUACAUGCGCCCAGACCCAACUUUUAGGAAGGGUUGUAUUUAUUAGACUUAAGCCAAUAUUCCUUGUGUCUAUUGCGAUGAUUCAUAAUAACUGAUCGAAUCUCAAAUUUGAGAUAAAUCAUUCAAGUUUCUGCCCUAUCAGCUUUCGAUGGUAGUGUAUUGGACUACCAUGGCAGUAACGGGUAACGAAGAAUUAGGGUUCGAUUUCGGAGAGGGAGCAUGAGAAACGGCUACCACAUCU